CCUACGGGUGGCUGCAGUGGGGAAUUUUCCGCAAUGGGCGAAAGCCUGACGGAGCAAUACCGCGUGAGGGAGGAAGGCUCUUGGGUUGUAAACCUCUUUUCUCAGGGAAGAAAAAAAUGACGGUACCUGAGGAAUAAGCAUCGGCUAACUCCGUGCCAGCAGCCGCGGUAAUACGGAGGAUGCAAGCGUUAUCCGGAAUGAUUGGGCGUAAAGGGUCCGCAGGUGGCAUUGUAAGUCUGCUGUUAAAGAGUCACGCUCAACGUGAUAAAAGCAGUGGAAACUACAAAGCUAGAGUGUGGUCGGGGCAGAGGGAAUUCCUGGUGUAGCGGUGAAAUGCGUAGAUAUCAGGAAGAACACCGGUGGCGAAGGCGCUCUGCUAGGCCAAAACUGACACUGAGGGACGAAAGCUAGGGGAGCGAAUGGGAUUAGAUACCCAAGUAGUC
rnacentral:rRNA from 1 species